rnacentral:rRNA from 1 species
GAGUUUGAUCAUGGCUCAGAACGAACGCUGGCGGCGCGUCUUAAGCAUGCAAGUCGAACGGUAAGGGAGAGCUUGCUCUCCCCUAGAGUGGCGGACUGGUGAGUAACGCGUGGGUGACCUGCCCUGAAGAUGGGGAUAGCUAGUAGAAAUAUUAGAUAAUACCGAAUGUGCUCAUUUACAUAAAGGUAAAUGAGGAAAGGAGCUACGGCUCCGCUUCAGGAUGGGCCCGCGUCCCAUUAGCUAGUUGGUGAGGUAAAGGCCCACCAAGGCAACGAUGGGUAUCCGGCCUGAGAGGGUGAACGGACACAUUGGGACUGAGAUACGGCCCAAACUCCUACGGGAGGCAGCAGCUAAGAAUCUUCCGCAAUGGACGAAAGUCUGACGGAGCGACGUCGUGUGAAUGAAGAGGGCCGAAAGGUUGUAAAAUUCUUUUGCAGAUGAAGAAUAACCACAGGAGGGAAUGC